AAGCAAGCAGAUGGGUUCGGGGUGAUGCUUGUGGAACGAGCGGCGGACCGGUGAGUAACACGUGGGCAACCUGCCUGUAAGAUCGGGAUAACUCGCGGAAACGUGAGCUAAUACCGGAUAAUACUUUUCAUUGCAUAGUGGGAAGUUGAAAGACGGAAUUGCUGUCACUUACAGAUGGGCCCGCGGCGCAUUAGCUAGUUGGUAGGGUAACGGCCUACCAAGGCGACGAUGCGUAGCCGACCUGAGAGGGUCAUCGGCCACAGAGGGACUGAGACACGGCCCAGACUCCUACGGGAGGCAGCAGUAGGGAAUCUUCCGCAAUGGACGAAAGUUAUACGGAGCAACGCCGCGUGAGUGAUGAAGGUCUUCGGAUCGUAAAACUCUGUUGUCAGGGAAGAACAAGUAUGAGAGUAACUGCUCGUACCUUGACGGUACCUGACCAGAAAGCCCCGGCUAACUACGUGCCAGCAGCCGCGGUAAUACGUAGGGGGCAAGCGUUGUCCGGAAUUAUUGGGCGUGUAGUGCGCG
rnacentral:rRNA from 1 species